CUGGAGGGAGCCCUCUAAUAAUGAUAUGGUUUGGCUCUGUGUCCCCACCCAAAUCCCAUCUUGAAUUGUAAUCUGAUUGUAAUCUGAGAUUGGGGUGUGGCCUGGUGGGAGGUGAUUGAGUCAUGGGAGCAGACUUCCCCCUUACUGUUCUUCUGAUAGUGUUCACAUGAGAUCUGGUUGUUUUGAUAAGUGUCUGGUGGUCCUUCCCCGCCGUGGACUCUCUCUCUCUCUCUCUCCUGCUGCCAUGAUUGUUAGUUUACUGAGGCCUCCCCAGCCAUGCAGAACUGUGAACCUUUUUUGUUUAUCUCAGGUAUUUCUUUAUAGCAGGGUGAAAAUGGACUAAUGCAAACAAGAUGGAGGGACUGGCCACUGGAAGUCAGGCUGUUACAUGUGGAAACGGUCUAACAAUGCACCUGGCUGGAUCAGGAGCAUCCACCUUUUUCUCCAAAUGAAGUGUUACACACAGGCGUUUGCUGUGCGUCCUCAGACCACCUCAGCUCCUCCUCCCCUACACCUGGGACUCCGCAGCGCAGACUUGGCUUCAAACGAGGCUCACGGUUCUUCCUGGCAUUUGCUUUUUUGGCUUAGUGAGUGCACAUUCAAUAUCUUUUUCUUCUUCUCUUGAAAGCACUGUCUUCAGUCUCCUCACUUGUCCCUUUCUCCUCUGGCAAGUGUAAUGCUAUCGACAUUUGAAAGUGGCCUGGUUCCUUUGUGUCUGGUAAAUGGCCUUGCUGCUGAAUUUCCGUAGAACUGUGCAGAAACUAGAGCACGGGGGGUGAAGGGAGCUGCUCUCUCGGGGCUCAGCCGCCCUCCUGGGGCCCCACCUCACGCUAGGGGCUGGUAGCGGGUGGGACCUGGAGUUUCCUUCCUAAAUUUGAGCAAUGACUCGGCCUUAGCCACUCUUGACUUUGCUCUGCUUCGGUUUAGCAUCUGUUAAGUAGUGACCUUUGCCACCAAUUAAUGAGGGUGAGGCCCCAUUCGCUUGCAAAGAAGUGGAAUUGUAAACAAACAAACUUCCAAGUGGAAAGACUAGUUCUAGGGGAAAUGUGGGUGGGAAAGGUGCUCCUGUAUUCUCCUUUUAGUAUGAGAGACAUGCCUCCUUUCUCCUGUUCAAGCACUCAGAUUGAUCCCUCCUCUGGGGCAGAAUCCUAAGCCUGACACUCUCUCCUAAAUAUGCUGUUGUGUCUCAUAUGUCAGCUUCUCAGGGUCCUGCCAAGAGAGGGUGAGGUAACAUACAACAGCUGUUACUGCCCUGAUGUAUCCUCCCUCCCAAUGUCAACAACAUACACUUUGGAGUGCCCUCUUUAUGU